UACGUAGGGUGCAAGCGUUGUCCGGAAUUAUUGGGCGUAAAGAGCUCGUAGGCGGUCUGUCGCGUCGGCUGUGAAAACUCGGGGCUCAACUCCGAGCUUGCAGUCGAUACGGGCAGGCUAGAGGAAUGGAGGGGAGACUGGAAUACUUGGUGUAGCAGUGAAAUGCGUAGAUAUCAAGUGGAACACCAGUGGCGAAGGCGAGUCUCUGGACAUUUCCUGACGCUGAGGCACGAAAGCCAGGGGAGCAAACGGG
rnacentral:rRNA from 1 species